rnacentral:rRNA from 1 species
AUUGAACGCUGGCGGCAGGCCUAACACAUGCAAGUCGAACGAGUGGCGGACGGGUGAGUAAUGUCUGGGAAACUGCCUGAUGGAGGGGGAUAACUACUGGAAACGGUAGCUAAUACCGCAUACCAUCUGAUGUGCCCAGAUGGGAUUAGGUAGUUGGUGGGGUAACGGCUCACCAAGGAGACGAUCCCUAGCUGGUCUGAGAGGAUGACCCGCCACCCUUGAACUGGUACACGGUCCAGCCUCCUCCGGGAGGCAGCAGUGGGGAAUAUUGCACAAUGGGCGCAAGCCUGAUGCAGCCAUGCCGGGUGGAUGAAGAAGGCCUUCGGGUUGUAAAAUACUUUCAGCGGGGAGGCGUUACCCGCAGAAGAAGCACCGGCUAACUCCGUGCCAGCAGCCGCGGUAAUUC